rnacentral:lncRNA from 1 species
ACAGAUUAUCACUCUAGCUUAAAUUUGAGGGUGUCAAAAUUAAAAAAUAUAUCCCUAAAAGUUAUUUAAAAAUAUAGUAUAGUAGGAGUAAAUUUUAAAAAAUUUGAGGGUGCAGCUGGUAUAACAUUGAGCUCAAUGUUGGUAUGUCUCUUCUUGUAGGCCCAUCCAUAAAUUUUUCUUUCCUUUUCCAUAGUUUUGCUUCAACUUGAGAAAUUUGUUUUCCUUCCUCUUUUUGUUUUCUAUUAUGAUUUGAUUAUUCCCUUCUAGAUAGAGUAUCUGUUAGACUUUGUUUGUAUUGGAAAAAUUUUGAAAGAAAAGAAGGUAAAAUAAAAGAAUGUCAAAGGAAUUAAAGCUGCAUGCAUGCAAAUAAAGUUACAUAUAUCUCGUGUGUGUGUCUUCUCAUAAAAAAAAACAUUAGGAAAUGUUAAAUAUCCUCUUUGAAGAGUUAUA